UACAGAGGGGGCAAGCGUUGUUCGGAAUUACUGGGCGUAAAGCGCGCGUAGGCGGCUGUCUAAGUCGGGUGUGAAAGCCCCGGGCUCAACCUGGGAACUGCAUUCGAUACUGGACGGCUAGAGUAUGAGAGAGGGAGGUAGAAUUCCACGUGUAGCGGUGAAAUGCGUAGAUAUGUGGAGGAAUACCGGUGGCGAAGGCGGCCUCCUGGUUCAAUACUGACGCUGAGGUGCGAAAGCGUGGGGAGCAAACAGG
rnacentral:rRNA from 1 species